rnacentral:rRNA from 1 species
AUUGAACGCUGGCGGCAGGCCUAACACAUGCAAGUCGAACGAGUGGCGGACGGGUGAGUAAUGUCUGGGAAACUGCCCGAUGGAGGGGGAUAACUACUGGAAACGGUAGCUAAUACCGCAUACCAUCGGAUGUGCCCAUAUGGGAUUAGCUAGUAGGUACGGUAACGGCUUACCUAGGCGACGAUCCCUAGCUGGUCUGAGAGGAUGAUCAGCCACACUGGAACUGAGACACGGGCCAGACUCCUACGGGAGGCAGCAGGGGGGAAUAUUGCACAAUGGGCGCAAGCCUGAUGCAGCCAUGCCGCGUGUAUGAAGAAGGCCUUCGGGUUGUAAAGUACUUUCAGCGGGGAGGCGUUACUCACAGAAGAAGCACCGGCUAACUCCGUGCCAGCAGCCGCGGUAAUUC